AAGCAGGCAGAUCCAAUUUUCUGCCACCGAAUACAUUAGCAUGGGAUAAUGGAAUAGGACCCUGUCCUCCUAUUUUCAGUUGGUUUUGGCAGCGCGAGGACUAGGGUAAUGAUUAAUAGGGAUAGUUGGGGGCAUUAAUAUUUAAUUGUCAGAGGUGAAAUUCUUGGAUUUAUGAAAGAUUAACUUCUGCGAAAGCAUCUGCCAAGGAUGUUUUCAUUAAUCAAGAACGAAAGUUAGGGGAUCGAAGACGAUCAGAUACCGUCGUAGUCUUAACCAUAAACGAUGCCGACCAGCGAUUAGGAGACGUUGAAUACAAAACACCACCAUCGGCGCGGUCGUCCUUGGCGUCUCGGUCCUUCACGGGGCCGGGGCGCGGGGGCGGCUUAGCCCGGUGGCACCGGUGAAUGACUCCCCUAGCAGCUUGUGAGAA
rnacentral:rRNA from 1 species